UGCAGUCGAACGAUGAUGCCCAGCUUGCUGGGUGGAUUAGUGGCGAACGGGUGAGUAACACGUGAGUAACCUGCCCCUGACUCUGGGAUAAGCGUUGGAAACGACGUCUAAUACUGGAUAUGAUCACUGGCCGCAUGGUCUGGUGGUGGAAAGAUUUUUUGGUUGGGGAUGGACUCGCGGCCUAUCAGCUUGUUGGUGAGGUAAUGGCUCACCAAGGCGACGACGGGUAGCCGGCCUGAGAGGGUGACCGGCCACACUGGGACUGAGACACGGCCCAGACUCCUACGGGAGGCAGCAGUGGGGAAUAUUGCACAAUGGGCGAAAGCCUGAUGCAGCAACGCCGCGUGAGGGAUGACGGCCUUCGGGUUGUAAACCUCUUUUAGUAGGGAAGAAGCGAAAGUGACGGUACCUGCAGAAAAAGCACCGGCUAACUACGUGCCAGCAGCCGCGGUAAUACGUAGGGUGCAAGCGUUGUCCGGAAUUAUUGGGCGUAAAGAGCUCGUAGGCGGUUUGUCGCGUCUGCUGUGAAAUCCCGAGGCUCAACCUCGGGCUUGCAGUGGGUACGGGCAGACUAGAGUGCGGUAGGGGAGAUUGGAAUUCCUGGUGUAGCGGUGGAAUGCGCAGAUAUCAGGAGGAACACCGAUGGCGAAGGCAGAUCUCUGGGCCGUAACUGACGCUGAGGAGCGAAAGCAUGGGGAGCGAACAGGAUUAGAUACCCUGGUAGUCCAUGCCGUAAACGUUGGGCGCUAGAUGUAGGGACCUUUCCACGGUUUCUGUGUCGUAGCUAACGCAUUAAGCGCCCCGCCUGGGGAGUACGGCCGCAAGGCUAAAACUCAAAGGAAUUGACGGGGGCCCGCACAAGCGGCGGAGCAUGCGGAUUAAUUCGAUGCAACGCGAAGAACCUUACCAAGGCUUGACAUACACCGGAAACGGCCAGAGAUGGUCGCCCCCUUGUGGUCGGUGUACAGGUGGUGCAUGGUUGUCGUCAGCUCGUGUCGUGAGAUGUUGGGUUAAGUCCCGCAACGAGCGCAACCCUCGUUCUAUGUUGCCAGCGGGUUAUGCCGGGGACUCAUAGGAGACUGCCGGGGUCAACUCGGAGGAAGGUGGGGAUGACGUCAAAUCAUCAUGCCCCUUAUGUCUUGGGCUUCACGCAUGCUACAAUGGCCGGUACAAAGGGCUGCGAUACCGUAAGGUGGAGCGAAUCCCAAAAAGCCGGUCUCAGUUCGGAUUGAGGUCUGCAACUCGACCUCAUGAAGUCGGAGUCGCUAGUAAUCGCAGAUCAGCAACGCUGCGGUGAAUACGUUCCCGGGCCUUGUACACACCGCCCGUCAAGUCAUGAAAGUCGGUAACACCCGAAGCCGGUGGCCUAACCCUUGUGGAAGGAGCCGUCGAA
rnacentral:rRNA from 1 species